rnacentral:rRNA from 1 species
ACCAGGAGUGGAGCCUGCGGCUUAAUUUGACUCAACACGGGGAAACUCACCAGGUCCAGACACAAUAAGGAUUGACAGAUUGAGAGCUCUUUCUUGAUUUUGUGGGUGGUGGUGCAUGGCCGUUCUUAGUUGGUGGAGUGAUUUGUCUGCUUAAUUGCGAUAACGAACGAGACCUUAACCUACUAAAUAGUGGUGCUAGCAUUUGCUGGUUAUCCACUUCUUAGAGGGACUAUCGGUUUCAAGCCGAUGGAAGUUUGAGGCAAUAACAGGUCUGUGAUGCCCUUAGACGUUCUGGGCCGCACGCGCGCUACACUGACGGAGCCAGCGAGUCUAACCUUGGCCGAGAGGUCUUGGUAAUCUUGUGAAACUCCGUCGUGCUGGGGAUAGAGCAUUGUAAUUAUUGCUCUUCAACGAGGAAUUCCUAGUAAGCGCAAGUCAUCAGCUUGCGUUGAUUACGUCCCUGCCCUUUGUACACACCGCCCGUCGCUAGUACCGAUUGAAUGGCUUAGUGAGGCC